CACGUAGGGCGCAAGCGUUGUCCGGAAUUAUUGGGCGUAAAGAGCGUGUAGGCGGCUUGGUAGGUCCGCUGUGAAAACUCGGGGCUCAACCCCGAGAGGUCGGUGGAAACCAUCUGGCUAGAGUCCGGAAGAGGAGAGUGGAAUUCCUGGUGUAGCGGUGAAAUGCGCAGAUAUCAGGAAGAACACCCGUGGCUAAGGCGGCUCUCUAGUACGGUACUGACGCUGAGACGCGAAAGCGUGGGGAGCGAACAGG
rnacentral:rRNA from 1 species